GAAGUUGACGGGGCCCGCACAAGCGGUGGAGUAUGUGGUUUAAUUCGAUGCAACGCGAAGAACUUACCUGGUCUUGACAUCCCGGAGACCCUUAGGAAACUAGGGGUGCUUCCAUCUGGAAGAAUCUGGAGACAGGUGCUGCAUGGCUGUCGUCAGCUCGUGUCGUGAGAUGUUGGGUUAAGUCCCGCAACGAGCGCAACCCUUGCCUUUAGUUGCCAGCAGUUCGGCUGGGCACUCUAAAGGGACUGCCGGUGUUAAACCGGAGGAAGGUGGGGAUGACGUCAAGUCCUCAUGGCCUUUAUGACCAGGGCUACACACGUACUACAAUGGCCGAUACAAAGGGCAGCGACACUGCGAGGUGAAGCCAAUCCCGUAAAAUCGGUCUCAGUCCGGAUUGGAGUCUGCAACUCGACUCCAUGAAGUUGGAAUCGCUAGUAAUCGUGGAUCAGCAUGCCACGGUGAAUACGUUCCCGGGCCUU
rnacentral:rRNA from 1 species